GGUACACUGAACAUAACACACUUAUCCCAUUGACCUUCAAUUGACUUGAUUUCAAAACCAACAGAUAGAGGACUCAUAGGUAUUUCAAACCUCACUAAUUUUGUCCAAAAAUUCAAAGAAUUCUAUCCAGGAAGGAAUGCGUAGCUACAUCUCGCAAUUCUCUAUGACCAGGAGGAAUGAAAUGUAACGAACCAAGCUUCCUUCUUCCUUGAGUCUGCACCGUCUGAGAUACCAAACCCUAAUGCUAGUUCAGUUUAUGUGUUUUACGUGAGCACCUUUCACUAGUGUGCGUAAAAAAAACAUACUAACUUGAUCAUAAAAGAAAGUCAAAUUCUAAGCCAUUCUAAAAUUUUCUCUCUAGAAAUUAAUGUUUUUGCUAGAUUUUGGUAUCUACUUGUAGUCUUUAGCAAAGACAACCUCUAAACACGAUGCAACAAAGUUCAGGUGGUAUGCUGACAAUUAUCUUUUACAAGACUUAUGAUUAAUCUUAACUUCUUUGGUAAAUUUAAUUACAUGUAUAUUUAAAACAAUUAAAUUUCAAUGUUCACAUUAAGACAAAGGACUAAGAAGUUUUUUAAAAAACUUAAAGAUAAUCUAACAUCUUUUAGAAAUUAAACAUAAGUUUUACAACUAAUAAGAAUUAUAAAUUUUUCAAAUGUGACUAAUUACAUGAAUGAAGCAUCUUUCGCCUUUUGAAUCCUCCGCAAUCCACAAGAAUCCCAACCAUCCUUUAAUCUAAAAAAUUUGUCAACAUAGAAGACAUGAGCUUCGAGCUCAAUAAGACUAAUGUCACUUAGUGCACCAUUUCGAUCAUACACCACACACACACUCACACACUCUCAAAGUGAUUUCAUGCAGAUGAAUACUAGCAAAUUCAUGAUUUCGAUGAAUCGCUUAGGAUCAUAGAACCCAGUUAUGAACAUACAUAAACCUCUUUAUUCAUAGCUUCAAAAAUUCUAACACACAUCACAAGUGUGUUUGUGUGUGUGUGUGUGUAUAUGUAUAUAUAUGUGAACGAAAAAGGUAAAUACUUCACCUCACCUACCACGAUUUUAUUGAAAUAUAAAUGAACAAAAUGUGUAGAAACAUUUCUUCUUCACACCCUUGCUAUCCCGUUGAGCUUAACUUAACUAAAAAUAGAUUUUUAAGAGCAAAAUUAAAAGAAAUUUUAGAUUUGAUGAGAGGUAUGGAAAAAUAGUGAAAAACUAAUGGGAGAGUUAUAUCAUCAUCAACCACGUUAAACAUAGUCUUUAAGUAGGAAUUUAAAGAGUUUUAAGCCCAUAAGAAUAUUUUUUAUUAAAAAAGUUAUAAAACGUUUAUAAGGUGAAAAUUAGAGGAAAAUGAAUUAUUCAUUAUGAUUUGUAACUUAUCUUUAUGAAUGUUCACUAAUAAAACAAUUAUUCCAUUCAACUAACAUGAUAUAAUUGUUCUUAAUGUGCAAAAAUGAGGUGUUUUUAACUCCAAAUGGUUUUUAUAAAAUAUUUCAUAAAAAUAUAUGCAUGGUGAUUCAAACGUUGGUUGUCUAUGUGAAAUACCAUGCAGACGACUAUUAUGGCAACCCAAUUAUUCAUUAAAUCUUUAUAAUCAAAUUUAUUUUGACCUAAUGCCUUAAAUCUUUGGGGUUUUAAAUAACUUAUGGCUUGGGCUUUCAUUACCUUAAAUGGGCUGAGCCUCCAUAACUUGUUUCUUAAGUGAGCUAUACCAACCAACUUAAGAAUAUAACAUUCGAGACUUUGUAGUCUCUUAAUCACUUUUUAGUCUAUUUUCAAAUGGCAAACCUAAGCACUAUUUAGAAUCAUUUAACGUGCCCUCAAUCUACAAUAAUGAUGCAUAUGAGAUUGACGCAUCGAUCGUUAAAAUGAGGUCAUGUGUCAUCCAUCCAAUGAUGACAACUACGUUUCUUGUGCUAUAAAAGCUCACGCUUGAUGCCAUUCACUAGUAGUGCUAAUUGACACCCUCAAUAGUGACUUAGCUUGGUAUUAUAUUUUCUCUCUUCAAAUUUGGUUAUUAUAUACGUACUUGUGGCCCUUAUUUAUUUUCCAUCCACACCUAAAAUCAUAUAUAAAUUGACUGGUUUGAUAAACGAAGUUAUGCUACCUCCUUCCCCACCUCUUAUGAAGGCCACAUACACAAAAUAGUUUGUCCAAUUAUACAAUAGCUUGACACAUAAAUGGGAAUGAAGUGGGGACAUAUUGGCCACAUUUUCCAGUCGAAAGCUGAGGUUAACAGUAACCAUUAAACACUUAAAUUAAAAGAUAACAGACACAAUAUCCUGAUAGUUAAUAAGAGAUCUGAUUUGUGUUUCCUCCUCGUACAAUAUCAAACAAAUAGAAUAAAUGGGAAAAGCUUCCCUAGCUACCUAAUCUUGAACCUAGUUUCAUUAAUGAACAUUGAAAACUAAUUAAUUUAUAUACAAUAAAUAAUAUCAAAGCAAUUAUUGAAAAAUUAUGAAUAACAGAGAAGAAUAAUGUUAAUCAAAGAAGAAUCUCUUAUUUGAUAAUUUAUGGAGAUAAAACUUUAACACUCCCCAUCAGGUUGGAGAAUGAAUUUUUGAAAUGCCUAAUUUGCUCAUAUGUCUCUUGAAAAGUGACUUUCCAAUAGAUUUUGUAAACAUAUAGGUUAUUUGUCCUAUGAAUUAUCGAACUGCACUGCCAGUAGACCUGCUUUGAUCUUCUCUCUAGCCAUAUGGCAGUCUAGUUCGAUGUGUUUUGUUAUUUCAUGAAAUACCGGGUUUGCAGCAAUUUGUAAUGGUGCCUAAUUAUCACAAAAGAGUAUUGCUAGUUCUAUAAGAUUAACAUGUAGAUCUUUGAACAAAUACCUUAGGCACAUCAGUUCGCACGUUACUAAAGCCAUUUCCUUGUAUUGUGCUUCUAUCGAAGAUCUUGACACUGUAGUUUGCUUCUUCAUCUUCCAAGAUACAAGAGAAUUUCCUAGGAAAAUGCAAAAACUUGUAAAUGGUCUUUUGGUGGUCGGGCAAGAUGCCUAAUCUGAAUAACAAAAUCCUUUGAUUUGGAAAUCAUUUUGAGAUGAGAAGAAAAGAACUUGACCAGAUGCCUCCUUUAUAUAUUUCAACAUAUGAAAUACGACAUCCAAGUGAUGUUUCCUUGGUUGGUUCAUGAAUUGACUAAGAAAAUUCACCGAGUAUUGGAUGUCUGGUCUCGUGACAGUCAAGCAGAUGAUUUUUCAACUAUUCUUCCAUAUUGAGGACUUUUCAACAAGCUUCUUUCUAUUGGCUUCAAUUUAAGAUUUUGGUUCCAUUGGAUAUACUACUUGUGUCGUUCCCAAUAGUCCCUCUUCAUCCAGUACAUUUAGCUCAUAUUUUCUUUGUGCUUAUGCCUUUACUAGAAUGUGCCACUUCAUUACCGAGAAAAACUCUCAAAUUUCUAAAGUCUUUUAUCUUGAAAUCAUUGCUCAAAAAAUUCUUUAACUUUGCAAUUUUUUGUUCAUCAUUCCUUGCUAUAACCAUAUCAUCUACACAAAUAAAGACAACAGUAAACGAAUUUUGGUUACCUUUUGUGAAUAGGAAAUAAUCUUCAAGAGAUUGUUUAAAACCUGCUUUACAUAUAACAGCCAAAGACUAAGAAUACCAAUUUUCGGAAGCUUGUUUUAUUCCAUAAAGAGAUUCGUGAAGUUGACAAACUAAUGGAGUCUCCCAUGUCGAUUGUUAUCGGGUGGUGGGAGCAUGUAGACUUCCUCUUCAAGAUCACCAUGAAUAAAGACAUCUUGGACAUCAAUUUGAUUUAAAGACCAUUUAUAGGCUGCAACUAUGGCUAAUAAACAUCGUACAGUUGUGAGUUUUGCAACUGGUGUUAAAGUUACCCUGUAGUCCAUGCCUUCUAUUUGGUUAUAUCUUUUAGCAACUAAGCGAGCUUUGUAUCUUUUGAUGUUCCCGUCUGCCUUUUAUUUUAUUUUACGCGCCCAACGACAUCCAAUUGAUUUUUUAUUUUUUUUUAUAUCCAGGUAUCAUAGCUUACGCUAGACUAAAUCCUGGACCCCCAAGACCCUUGCCUCUAGAACCUUGGAGGGGGUAAAUCGCGGGUUAUGCAUCAACUGGAUCACAGGUUCCCCCCACCGCCUGUACACUUCUACGCACAAGAGAUCCUCCUCCAAAGUGAUUGCUCCAUACCAAAUAAAUCUGGCCGCAGGUUCCCACCAGGAUUCGAACCUCCACCCUACCGCUGGAAGCAAGACAAAUGUUGAUUGAUCCACCAGUUGAGUUGUGCCCCAGGGGGCCUCAUCCAAUUGAUUUCUUGCCUUUAUGCAACGACGUUAAAGACCAAGUUCCAUUGUCCCCUAAGGCUUGAAUUUCAGUAUCCAUGCUACCUUCCAAUUCAGAUCAUGUACAGCUUGAGCAAAAUUAGUUGGUUCAAUUGUUUGAGAAAUGUUGACAACUAAACUCUUAUUUUUAGGUAAAAAAGUUAGAAUAGGACACAUAGUUAGAAAUGGGAUACCUGGUUCUUUUGUGUGUCUUAGCUAUGAAUGAAUAGUCAUGGUUUGGGUUGAUUGUCGAGAGCUGUGAAAACGUGAAGUCUCUUAGCCAAAAUGAAGGUCUUUGAACCCUUUCAGAUCUUUUAAGGUUUUUUGAUCAGUUGGUGGUGUUUGAUGGCUAUUUGUAAUUUUAGGUUAUUGUAGAGGUAAUUUGAGUGAUGCUGUUGUAAACGGUAAAGAAGAUGAUCGAGCUAAUGAAGAUUGGUGAGGGCCAGUUAGCAGGUAUAUCUAAUGGUAUAUGAUCCGAGAUGUGUUCACAAGACAAAGGUAAGACUGGCAUCUUAGAUUGUAAAGUCGGAAUGGCUAGAUAAGGAAACUUUUUCUUAUGAAAAACAACAUCCUGAGUGGAAAGGAGUUUAUUAAUCUAUAUAUCAUAUGCUUUAUAUACAUUAGGGCCUAGUGGAAAACCAAGAAAAAUGCUAGGAGUUUAUUAUUCUAUACAUCAUAUACUUUAUAUACUUUAGGGCCUAGUGGAAAACUAAGAAAAAUGCAUCUUUUGACUCUUGUAUCAAACUUGUGUUCAUGAACUAUGUUUGUAGCAAAACAAAGACAACCAAAGACUUUAAGAUGGCUAUAUAUGGGUGGCUUUCGAUAAAAGAUUGCAAAGGGAAUUUUAUUUUUCAGUAAGGGAGUGGGCACUCGAUUGAUCAAGUAAACUACAUGUAGCACAUUUUACCCCAAAAUUUUAAAGGUAAAUUUCCUGAAAUCUAAGUGCCCUGGCCACAUUAACAAGAAGCCUAUGUUUUCUGUCCACUAUCCCAUUUUGAUGUGGAGUACCAAUAUAAGUAUGUUAAAAAAUUACCCCUUCAUUAUUAAAAAAUUCUAACAUGGAAAAAAAUUCCCGAGCAUUAUCGACUCUCAAUUUUAGAACCUAACUAUGAUGUUGGGUUUUAGCAUAGGCAAAAAAGGAUUUCGAUAUUAACUGUGUUUUGGGUUUGUAUUUCAAAAGUAUAUCCAGGUAAAUCUUAAAUAGUCAUCCACAUUGGUUAAAAAACAAGAGGCUCCUAUAAUCGAAGGAAAUCUAAAUGCACCCCAUAUAUGACAAUGAAUCAUCCCAAAAAAAUUUAGUGGUUGAAAUGGUAUUCAAAUUGAAAUGUAACCUACUCUGUUUUGCCAAAGAACAAAUUUAACAAACAUUAUUAAAGUCGUGAACAAUUUCUGGAACUGAAAAAUUAAGAUACUUCAUGGGUAGUAUAAAGGGGUGUCCAAGCCUUUGAUGCCAGGUAUUUGACCUGACUGAAGUGUUGUUGGUGAGGAUUCUUGAUUUAUCAUUAUGUAUUUGGCUUGGAAGAUAGUACAGGCCUUUAUACAUUCUCCUUAAACCAAUCCUCUUCCUCAUUGCAAGGUCUUGAAUCACACAGAAAUCAAGGUAAAAAGUGACUAAACAAUUCAACAUUUUUGUAAGUUCGCUAAAUGACAAAAAGUUGAAAUUGAAGGUAGGGACAUAAUAUAAUCAAAAUAUUUCCAGAUUUAUGUUUAGUAUCAUAUUGCCUUCUGACUUGACAAAAGGUCCAGUUCCAUUGGGCAUUAAAACACUAGAACUAGCAGGUUUAGAAAGAUUUAAUAGUGACGUUUGUGCAUUGGUGAUGUGGUCAGUGGCUCCACUAUCCAGUAUCCAAAAGUUUGACAUAUGCUACUUAUGAUUAAAGGAUAAACAUGUAAUUGGUUUCUGACCUGCUAAAUUUGCUUUAGGCUGUACAUUACCAUCUUGAAUGAGUGCCAUAAUCUACUUAUAUUGUUUUGUAGUGAAAAUUGGAGCUUCAAGUUCCACUUCUGCCUCCUGAGGAGUGAGGUUUGCUUUGGUAACUCAUUUUUC
rnacentral:lncRNA from 1 species